ACAAGGAAUGUAGAGAAGAGUUG
rnacentral:piRNA from 1 species